rnacentral:rRNA from 1 species
GACGAACGCUGGCGGCGUGCCUAAUACAUGCAAGUUGAGCGCUGAAGGUUGGUACUUGUACCAACUGGAUGAGCAGCGAACGGGUGAGUAACGCGUGGGGAAUCUGCCUUUGAGCGGGGGACAACAUUUGGAAACGAAUGCUAAUACCGCAUAAAAACUUUAAACACAAGUUUUAAGUUUGAAAGAUGCAAUUGCAUCACUCAAAGAUGAUCCCGCGUUGUAUUAGCUAGUUGGUGAGGUAAAGGCUCACCAAGGCGAUGAUACAUAGCCGACCUGAGAGGGUGAUCGGCCGCAUUGGGACUGAGACACGGCCCAAACUCCUACGGGAGGCAGCAGUAGGGAAUCUUCGGCAAUGGACGAAAGUCUGACCGAGCAACGCCGCGUGAGUGAAGAAGGUUUUCGGAUCGUAAAACUCUGUUGGUAGAGAAGAACGUUGGUGAGAGUGGAAAGCUCAUCAAGUGACGGUAACUACCCAGAAAGGGACGGCUAACCACGUG